UACGGGGGGGGCAAGCGUUGUUCGGAAUUACUGGGCGUAAAGGGCUUGUAGGCGGCCAACUAAGUCGGAUGUGAAAUCCCCGGGCUUAACCUGGGAACUGCAUUUGUGACUGCAAGGCUGGAGUGCGGCAGAGGAGACUGGAAUUCCUGGUGUAGCAGUGAAAUGCGUAGAUAUCAGGAGGAACACCGAUGGCGAAGGCAGGUCUCUGGGCUGACACUGACGCUCAUGCACGAAAGCGUGGGGAGCAAACAGG
rnacentral:rRNA from 1 species